UUGACCUCAAAUCAGGUAGGACUACCCGCUGAACUUAAGCAUAUCAAUAAGCGGAGGAAAAGAAACUAACAAGGAUUCCCCUAGUAACUGCGAGUGAAGCGGGAAGAGCUCAAAUUUGAAAUCUGGCGGUUUCUGACCGUCCGAGUUGUAAUCUAGAGAAGUGCUACCUGUGCUGGACCGUGUACAAGUCUCCUGGAAUGGAGCAUCACAGAGGGUGAGAAUCCCGUCUUUGACAUGGACUGCCUGUACGUUAUGGUGCGCUCUCGAAGAGUCGAGUUGUUUGGGAAUGCAGCUCAAAAUGGGUGGUAAAUGCCAUCUAAAGCUAAAUAUUGGCGAGAGACCGAUAGCGAACAAGUACCGUGAGGGAAAGAUGAAAAGAACUUUGGAAAGAGAGUUAAACAGUACGUGAAAUUGCUGAAAGGGAAACGCUUGAAGUCAGUCACGUCAGCUAGAAAUCAGCCUUGCUUUUGCUUGGUGUACUUUCUUGUUGAUGGGUCAGCAUCAAUUUUGACCAUUGGAUAAAGUCGUUGGGAAUGUGGCAUCCUUGGAUGUGUUAUAGCCCAGUGUCGCAUACAAUGGUUGGGAUUGAGGAACUCAGCACGCCGCAAGGCCGGGUUUCAAACCACGUUCGUGCUUAGGAUGCUGGCAUAAUGGCUUUAAUCGACCCGUC
rnacentral:rRNA from 1 species